GGGAUUGUGGCUCAGUGGUAGAGUGCUCGCCUAGCACGUGUUCGACCUGGGUUCGAUUCUCAGCACCA
rnacentral:tRNA from 1 species